rnacentral:lncRNA from 1 species
ACGAUGUUACUUUUAUUUAACGAAUUUGUAGACUGUAUUAAUACAAUGGUAUUUAAUACAUAUGUACAUUCUAUAUAAAUAAAUCAGUAUAUAUAUUUAUAUAUAUUUACAAAAACAGUAAGUUUUUUUUUUUUUUUUUUUUUUUUUUUUUUUUUUUUUUUUUUUUUUUUCAUUGUAUCAAAGCAAUGAAUUUUAUUAUAAAGAUAUAUACCCAAAUAUAUAUUUUUUGUAUGUAAAGAAUAUGGGACAAUAUGUUUUUUUCUGUUUUAUAUAACAUGUAACGACUAUGUACAUGUAUCGAAAAUAAAAAUUAUCUAUGUCUUUUCAAAGUAUAUAUGUGUAUACAUAUGUAUGUAUAUGCGCACAUAUAAUUAAAAUAAAAAGGUGUCCUGUGUAUACAUUCAGACAGGGAGGAACACACAAAAAUGAUAUAUGCAUGACAAUUUAAAUAAUAAUAUACUACCAACAAUAAAAAGUGUAAUAGAAGUACUGAAAGUUAUAAAAAUAAUGAUCAAGUGAUCAAGUGAUCAAACGAUUAAACGAUUAAAUGAUUAAAUGAUUAAAUGAUUAAAUGAUUAAANNNNNNNNNNAAAUGAUUAAAUGAUUAAAUGAUUAAAUGAUUAAAUGAUUAAAUGAUAAAAUGACAUAAUAUAAUAAAGUAAAAACAAAUGAUAAUUUUUUUUUUUUUUUUUUAAAAAGCUUAUAUAAACGAAUUGUUUACCUAAAAUAUAACUGCUUUUUUUUUUUUUUUUUUUUUUUUUGUCAUGAGCUUAGCUUAAUUAUUAUAAUUAUAUAUUCUAAAAAUAAAUAAGUAAAUAUAUACAUAAAUAUUAUUAAUAUAAAAAUAUUUUAAAGUUUAUAUAUGCAAAUGUGUUAUAAUGGGCAAUACAAUGGAAACCCUUUUUAAAGACUGUUGUAAUCAAUUUUUAAAAAAAAAAAUCAUUUUUCAAAUAAGAAUUUGUGGUCCUGCUCAAAGUGGAAAAACAACAUUUGUAAAAUAUUUAUUGCACAAUAAGUUUUUAAAAGUAAAACCAACAGAAGGUCUUUUUGUUGAAAAAAUUGAUUUUGAAGAAUUUUCAAUCAUAAUAUGGGAUUCUAGAUAUAGUAUAGAACAAGAUGUGUCUAUUAAUAGGUUAGAAAUGGACGCCGUCAUUUAUUUUAUUGAUUUGUCUGACCAAGGCAGAUUAAAAAUAGCCAAAAAAGGUUUUUAUAAAGUGCUACAAGAUUAUAAUAACAUCGAUGAUAUUUUAAUUAUCGCAAGUAAACAAGAUAAAAAAAAUUGUAUGUUACUGCAACAAGUUAGAAACGAGCUGAAAAUCGAUCAUAUUGUUGAUAAGAACUGCUACUUAGCAGAAUGCUCAUCUAAAACGGGGUAUGGAGUUGAACCUUCUAUGAACUGGUUAUUUAAUAAACUAAUGUUCAAACGAAAAAGAAACAUGUGUUUUUUGUAAUAACAAAUGUAAUAUUUUUAGCAUUUUUUUUUUUUUUUGCAACACCUUUUCGAAAAACUUUUUUUGCAUAUUUCAUUACAUUUAUUUUUUUUUAAUAGUAUAUUUUUUUUUUUACUUCCUUUUAUUCGCUAUACUGCUUCACCGUUUGGUUGUUUCACCGUUUAAUUGUUUUACUGUUUGAUUGCUUCAUAAUUUGGUUGCCUUAUUGUUAUUUUUUUUUUUUUUUUUACUUUUUCAUUUGUAAUUAUUUUUAUCAUUUAACACAUGUUUUUAUUUGAAAACAAAAUUACAUUCUUUGGAAUUAACUGUUUUUUUAUUUUUAUCAAUAAUUUUUAGCUACAUCGAAUAGUAAAGAAAAACAUAUCCAUUCAUAUUUUUUUUUUUUUAUUUUAAGUAUAACUUUGUUUUAAUAAGAAACUUAAAAAAAAAUAAAAAAAAAAAAAAAAUGCUUCA